rnacentral:lncRNA from 1 species
GGCUUGUAAGUUAGUAACCAAUAACAAAACUUUCUCUCAUGUCUUCUGAUAGUUGUAUCUUCCAAAUUUAUUCUGUGUGAUUUUUUAUAUAGUCAUAGAUGGUAGUUAAAUCUCAUAUAAAAUCCCUUGCGAUGGCCUUAGGCGAGAGAACUCUUCCUUAUGUCGUAGAUUCCCUCUUAGCUUUCAACUGAUCCACGAAACAUUAACAAUAUAAACCCAAGACAAAAGCAAUAAUCCACCUCGCACCUGUCAAGAACUAGUUUAACCAAGUUUAUUUUAAGAAAAUUCAGUAGAAACUUCAAACAGAAAUUAACUGAAUUAUGAACGUACCGUGAAUAUUAACUUGAUUGAAGCAAAACGUAUUGUUCAGAAUUUAAUCACAAGAAAACUGAAGCUAUAACAGGACCACUACAGAGUUUUACUAUAAUACUAACUGAAUAUUUUUGCACAAGGGAACAACUGAAUAUUGUGAGUAUCUAAGCAAGAAUUGGUUUGUUUAUUGAAACAAAACUAAUUCAGCAGAACAGAAAAUGAAUACAAAAAAAUUAAAGAACUAACAGAAACUUUUACUGAAAUGGAUUGAUGAAUAACAAACUGAAUUAAAGAAAUUGAAACAGAAAAGUGUAUUAACUAAACUAAAGAAAAUGGAAUAUGACAGAAUUCAAUUUGUUCAUAUCUGAUGAUGAAAUGCACAUCAAUAUUUUGCAAUACAAUUAAAGAACAUGAAUUUUAAGAAAUGAUUUGAUUUCGAGACUAAAACAGGAAAUUGAAACAGGAACUUGACGAAAUUGAAUCUGAUUGGAAAAAACUGGAAUCGAUACCUGAGAAAGAUGAACAGCAAACAAGAAAUUAUCGGAUGAAAACGAAAAAGGAUCCAAGAAAUGAGAAUGAUUGAGAAGAGCAGAAAAUUGAAACUCGCAAAUGGAAAAGAACUUUUUCCGAUAAUCUCUCAACCAUCUUUGCUUCUCUACGGAUCUGGGUCAUUAUCCCAAUUUUAAAUCUGAAUUAGGCGGCUAACCCUUUAUCUUGGUGACUGCUCCUUCUUUAUGUUUUACAGCACCAUCCAUUCUCAAGUGGCAUCAUGCAUGGAGCUAGUGGUGGUGUUUUCAAUCCAUCCAUACAUUUUAAAAGACAUGGCAUCCUUCAUGCUUCACUAGAUCAAAUCCAUACACUAUUAUAUAUCUUUAUAUUGGAUCUCGAUUCAAUGGUUGUCAGUGAUAGCUACUUCCGCAACGUCUAAUGCUGAUCUCCAUGGUUGCAAGCUUGAUACUAAGAUAGUGUGUGUUUUAAUUUUCCUGUUAAUUAUGCGAUUGAAUAUGUUGAUCAUUUCUUUGAUUUAUGGAAAAAGUUUUGUAUACUAAUCAAUUUCUUUCUCUC